AACGAACGCUGGCGGCAGGCCUAACACAUGCAAGUCGAGCGCGCCCUUCGGGGUGAGCGGCGGGCGGGUGGGUAACGCGUGGGAAAGUGCCCUUCACUGCGGCAUAGCCUCGGGAAAAAGAGAGUAAUACCUCAUACGCUCCCUGGGGGAAAGAUUUGUCGAAGAAGGGGGGGCCGGAGUUGCAUUAGGUAGUUGGGGGGGUCAUGGCCCACUAAGCCGACGAUCCGUAGAUGGUGUGAGAGGAUGAGCCGCCACACUGGGACGGAGACACAGCCCAGACUCCUGCGGGAGGCAGCCGUGGGGAAUCUUAGACAGUGGGGGCAAUCCUGAUCGAGCCAGGCCUGGUAAGUGAUUAAGGCCGGAAAGAAGUAGAGCUCGUUCAGCUGUGAAGAGAAUGACGGUACCAGCAGAAGAAGCCCCGGCUAACUACGUG
rnacentral:rRNA from 1 species